rnacentral:antisense_RNA from 1 species
UGUGGGAGCUGGCUUGCCUGCGAUGAGGCCGUGUCAGUUAAAACAUGGGUUACUGACCCACCGCUAUCGCAGGCAAGCCAGCUCCCACA